GGUUGGGAAAUAUACUAUGCUAAGUUCUGUACAUUUUAUGUUCUGUACAACUUAGCAUAGUAUAUUUCCCAAC
rnacentral:pre_miRNA from 1 species